UGACGAAGGGGGGCGUAGGCGUUAUCCGUCUUAAAUUGGGCCCGUAGAUGUUGGUUACGUGUAGGCUGCCCGGACUAACGGUUAAUUCAACUAAGCGGAGCCUAGAGUGGAAAUUGGGGGAUCAGGGGAACUCCAGGAGUAGGGAUAGAAAUCCGGUGAUCCCGUGGAGGACCGCUAUGGCGAAGGCCCUAUCCUAAGUAACCACUGACGCUAAGAGACGAAAGUGUGGGAGCGAAGAGG
rnacentral:rRNA from 1 species